CCUACGGGUGGCUGCAGUGAGGAAUAUUGGUCAAUGGACGAGAGUCUGAACCAGCCAAGUAGCGUGAAGGAUGACUGCCCUAUGGGUUGUAAACUUCUUUUAUAAAGGAAUAAAACGAGGCACGUGUGCCUUUUUGCAUGUACUUUAUGAAUAAGGAUCGGCUAACUCCUUGCCAGCAGCCGCGGUAAUACGGAGGAUCCGAGCGUUAUCCGGGUUUAUUGGGUAGAAAGGGAGCGUAGAUGGGUUUAUAAGUCAGUUGUGAAAGUUUGUGGCUCAACCGCAAAAUUGAAAUUGAUAAUGGCAGGCUAGAGUACAGCUGAGGUAGGUGGAAUUAGUGGUGUAGCGGUGAAAUGCUUAGAUAUAUCGAAGAACACCGAUUGCGAAGGCAGCUUACUA
rnacentral:rRNA from 1 species